rnacentral:rRNA from 1 species
GAUGAACGCUGGCGGCGUGCUUAACACAUGCAAGUCGAACGGAAAGGCCCAAGCUUGCUUGGGUACUCGAGUGGCGAACGGGUGAGUAACACGUGGGUGAUCUGCCCUGCACUUCGGGAUAAGCCUGGGAAACUGGGUCUAAUACCGGAUAGGACGAUGGUUUGGAUGCCAUUGUGGAAAGUUUUUUCGGUGUGGGAUGAGCUCGCGGCCUAUCAGCUUGUUGGUGGGGUAACGGCCUACCAAGGCGUCGACGGGUAGCCGGCCUGAGAGGGUGAUCGGCCACACUGGAACUGAGACACGGUCCAGACUCCUACGGGAGGCAGCAGUAGGGAAUCUUCCGCAAUGGGCGAAAGCCUGACGGAGCAACGCCGCGUGAGUGAUGAAGGUCUUCGGAUCGUAAAACUCUGUUAUUAGGGAAGAACAUAUGUGUAAGUAACUGUGCACAUCUUGACGGUACCUAAUCAGAAAGCCACGGCUAACUACGUG